CAUUUGGGCGUAAUUGAGUAUUCGUGCCAAGUUUGGCCCUUAUCUCAGUGGUGAGAAAGGUGGGAUACAAGCAUGGGAAAUAAAUAUAGGUGAACUACAACUCUCAAGGUCAGUGCUCACCAAACCCAGUAUUUUCUGUAGGUCAUGGGAGUUCUGCCAAGAUUGGCAAAAUUACAUCCUUGGUGGAGUUCAGAAUGCUCUUUGAUUGUAGGUGAAGUAUAAAUCCCAGCAACUACAACCCCCAAAUGUCAAGGCCUAUGUUCCACAAACUCCACCAGUGUUCACAUUUGGGCAUAUUGAGUAUCCGUGCUAAGUUUGGUCCAGAUCCAUCAUUGUUUUGAGUCCAUGGUGCUCUCUGGACAUAGGUGAACUACAGCUCCCAAACUCAAGGUCAAUGCCCACUAAAUAGUAUUUCCUGUAGGUCGUGGGAGUUCUGUGUGCCAAGUUUGGUUCAAUUCCAUCAUUGGUGGAUUUCAGAAUCUCUUUGAUUGUAGGUGAACUAUAAAUCCCAGCAACCACAAAUGGCGAAAUCAGUCUGCCCCCGACCCCUCCAGUAUUCAAAUUUGGGCGGAUCGGCUAUUUGUGCCAAAUGAAUGAAUGAAAAUACAUCCUGCAUCUACAGUAGAGUCUCACUUAUCCAACAUAAACGGGCCGGCAGAAUGUUGGAUAAGCAAAUAUGUUGGAUAAUAAGGAGGGAUCAAGGAAAAGCCUAUUAAACAUCAAAUUAGGUUAUGAUUUUACAAACUAAGCACCAAAACAUCAUGUUAUACGACAAAUUUGACAGAAAAAGUAUUUCAGUACUCAGUGAUGCUACGUAGUAAUUACUGUAUUUACAAAUUUAGCCCCAAAAUAUCACAAUGUAUUGAAAACAUUGACUACAAAAAUGCAUUGGAUAAUCCAGAACGUUGGGUAAGCGAAUGUUGGAUAAUUGAGACUCUACUGUAUUUGUGUGUCUUCAAAUUGAUUUUAAGGUGACCGUAUUAAUUCCAUAGGAUUUUCUUGGGAAAGGAGGGCUCAGAAGUUCCUUUCUUAGUAGUCGGUGGUCUCCCAUCCAAACAUGGACCCUCCAAAAUGGCUUUAGCCGUGUCGCUGGGUGGUGCCAACGGGGAUACCUGGGGGAGGUUGCUCUCUCUCAGCUCUGUCCGUGCGGCGUGUGGGAGCCGAGGCCUUUGGCCGGUGAUGUAUAGUCCCCUUCCGCGCCGUUGGAGAGCAAACGGGCCCUGAGGCCUGCAGCCUGCAUAUUCCUACUGCUUCUCUGAGCCUUUGGGCUGUGACUGAGGAGACAAACCAUGCAGGAGACACUUGCCUUGCCUUUUGUACCCACCGGGUAUUUUGUUACCUUGUUUUUUAUCAUUUAAUCCCAUUUUGCCAAAUUUAAUUAUUUAAUCAUGUUUUGCUGUGUUUUAAUUUAUUUUAGGUAACUAUUACAGGAGUUUUUAGUGUCAUAUUUGUGUAUUUUUGUCAUUUGAUAUGGUCAAACCAGUAAUCAGAUCUAUGUAUUCCACCUUUCUGCGUGUUGUUACCAGUUGUGCAUCCCAUCUUGGCCCUGGCAUCUCGGCAAGGGUUGGAUUCUAUUGUGAGACCAGUUGACAACAUGACUUUUGCAGGUGUUGAGAGUUGCGCAGCACCUGCACCUUUGAACUACAUAAUGGAACGUGUUUCUAAAAGCUUGUUUAUUUAUGCUCCACGAUUUAUAAAACAGCCCUGACUCAGCCUAUACUAUAAUGGAGUCUAGGAUAAGCCAUUCCAACGGCCUUUUGCUGAAAUAAGCCUGAGGCACUCUGCAAGUUCAAGGUCUCUUCAAAGAGGAAUGUCAGCCUGUGGUGAAAAGGUUGGGAAGGUAAAUCAGCAAGUUAUCACCUCCCAGAGGAAGGAGGAGGAGCAGCAAGGGUGCUGAGAAAAGCAAAACUUUCCCUUCAGGAAAGGAAGAAAGAAAAGACCAUCAAAGACCUCAAUUUGGAUUCAGAAACCAUCAUUCUCCCAGAAGAUAAAGGUAAUGCCACGGUCGUCAUGAAACAACAUAAAGAAAAAAUCAGGCAACUCUUGGAUGAAAAAGAAAAAAAUUAAAACGGGACCUGACCAGUCAAAUCACAAAAACCACGUUUUGAUUAAAAAUGCCUAAAUUAAUCCUAACACGUGCCAACAUCUAUGAAAAUUUGAAGCUCUCCCUUCUAGGCUUUAUAGACCCACUAUAAUCCAUAAGGACUCCGCUCGGUCCCAUUGUGAGCACCAUCAGGUGCCCUACAUACAAUUUGGCAAAAUUUCUGGCACACCUACAAACUUAUAUUGGACUUCCUGCAUGCUAGAAUAAGGACUCAGCCCAGUUAAUAGAAAAUUCAGCAACCUGGAACCCCGACCACAGUAACAGACUGAUCAGCUUGGAUGUGGUUUCCCUGUUCAUAGCACACACUAUGGCAUUUCAUCGACUGGAGUUUCCCAAAAGACUUUGCAGCCCUGUUUGAACAUUGCCUCACUACCAGCUACUUCCAGUGGGAAAAAUGAAUUCUGUGAGCGGAAAGAUGGGAGUAGCCAUGGGGAGCCUUCUCGGCCCAGAAAUAGCAUUUUUGAAAAUGUGGAAACACUUUGGGAUUGGGGGCGGUUUGGAGUUUUUAAAGCCAUUUUAGUGUAUUUAUUGUAUUUUGAAUUGGUUUUAUCACACUUAUUAUUUAAUAGCUAUUUAUAGACCCACUUAAGAAAAUUCAGGAAAUGAUAACUGCUGUAGGAGUCUGUGGACAAGUAUACCCUGGAUAUUCCUGGUCAUGAAGAUAGAUCCUGCCUAUGAACUGGCACAAGAGAGAGGGCCUUCUCAGUGGUGGCCCCGGUCUUAAUUGUGUUUGCUUGUUUCUAAUAUUUUUGUUUUCACUUUGGUAUUAUAAUGUUUUUAACCUGUUGUAACCGUCUGUUUUGCAAAUAAAUAUGUUACACCUGCA